rnacentral:rRNA from 1 species
UACGUAGGGCGCAAGCGUUGUCCGGAAUUAUUGGGCGUAAAGAGCUCGUAGGCGGUCUGUCGCGUCGGCUGUGAAAUCCCGGGGCUUAACCCCGGGCGUGCAGUGGAUACGGGCUGGCUGGAGGCAGGCAGGGGAGAACGGAAUUCCCGGUGUAGCGGUGAAAUGCGCAGAUAUCGGGAGGAACACCGGUGGCGAAGGCGGUUCUCUGGGCCUGUACUGACGCUGAGGAGCGAAAGCGUGGGGAGCGAACAGG